rnacentral:misc_RNA from 1 species
GAUGAAGAACGCAGUGAAAUGCGAUAAGUAAUGUGAAUUGCAGAAUUCAGUGAAUCAUCGAAUCUUUGAACGCACAUUGCGCCCCUUGGUAUUCCGAGGGGCAUGUCUGUUCGAGCGUCAUUUCAACCCUCAAGCACAGCUUGGUCUUGGGCUUCGCCGCUAACCCGGCGGGUCUUAAAAUCAGUGGCGGUGCCGUCGGGCCCUGAGCGCAGUAAUCUCUCUCGCUAUAGGGUCCCGGCGGAUGCUGGCCAGUAACCCCCAAUUUUCUAUGGUUGACCUCGGAUCAGGUAGGGAUACCCGCUGAACUUAAGCAUAUCAAUAAGCGGAGGA